rnacentral:tRNA from 1 species
AAAAAGAUAAGCUAAAUAAGCUAGUGGGUUCAUACCCCAAUUAUAAAGGUCCUAAUCCUUUUCUUUUUA